rnacentral:tRNA from 1 species
GGAGGGGUGGCAGAGUGGUUGAAUGCACUGGUCUUGAAAACCAGCGUGCCGCAAGGUACCGAGGGUUCGAAUCCCUCUCCCUCCG